ACUUUCAAACAGCCCUAGACGCGACAUUUAGUUGGUAACCGCGCUUUUUGAAUUUGCGACCGCGCUUUAAGGUAGUUAGUUAUUAACUGACCUGACAGGAUCGCGAGUCACGAAGGCCGCAGCCAAGCUACCGAAUAAAACCCUUGUUUUAAAAGAAGUGUUGAUAGAUAUACGUAUCCAAUUGCGACAUUUGGAUACCUAAAAUGCUUACGUGAUUAAAUUUUACAAAGAAACGAUCAAACACGCAAUUGAGCAAGAAUGUAUAGCGUCACUGUAAACGGUCCUAUUGAGUGAUGGCGGAAGCGCGGCGAACUACUUACAUGACUUCCGAUUAAAAUUUUAGUCUCGUGGAAGUUUUCCUGGUUUAUUGCGUAGCUAAUCCAUAACGUAUAUAUAAUUGUCUCUUAGAAUCUGUGUUCAUAGUUUUGGGAGAUUGCGAAUUUUUGAAGUAGUAGCUCGUUUUAAUAUCGCCCAUGAGCGCAAAGAAAUGGCUACCGCGAAGGCUGAAGCAAAACACUUUGAGAUUUUAAAAGGUCUCUGUCGUGUUUGCGGAAAACGGUUGAAGAAGGCAAAAAGCCUCUAUGCCCAAAGCUUUGCCUGCGGCAGUUUCAAAACAUUGCUGGGCAAAUUUGGCAUCAAUGUCGAGAAGGAUGACCCCUAUAUUCAUCUGAUGCGCUUUUGUAAGUUGUGUCGUCUCGCAACAACUGACAAGGCUCCCAUAAUCUGGGAGAUUCACCGGGAAGAGGACUGCCCAACGUGCGCCUUAGAAGAGCAAAUUCAAAAAGGCGGUAGGCCGAAAAAAGCAAAGCGAGGCGGUGCGAGAGGGCAGGCUAAAAACUCCGCUUGGGAAGAGACGACAAACGCGGGUUUAAAAGCACAACUAAUCGCGCGCGUCACCGAGCUUAGUGCCUCUAUGAACACACUAAGGGACCACCGAUUCACCGAGCGCUUUGACUUUUUCGAAACGAAAAAAGAAGAGUUUCAUUGCGCUAUUUGCCUAGACGUCCUCGAAAAGCCUCUGUCAUCAAAGUGCCAGCACAGUUGCUGCUCGGACUGCUGGAAAUCUGCGUUCGAGUUGGGGGAAAAACAUCCAGCAUGCCCAAUAUGUCAAGAGACGCUGGCGGACCCUAAUGACCUCCAGCGCGCACCGCUUGUUUUAAUCCAGCUUUUAGAGGGGUACCUGGUUUAAUGUAGGGCAUGUGGUACCCGAUUGCCUUAUCACCUGUGCAACAGCCAUCCCUGUCCCCCGAGAAAGCGCCAGCGUGCGAAUAGCCCCGUCCCUGCCGCUGCUGUGCUAGAUCCUCAGACCCGAACCCUCGAGCGGAUGUUAAACGAGGUCCGCACUGGCCUCGUUUCCCCUGAUGUUGCGCGACUUGGGAAUUUGAUUGUGAACACAAUCUGCAAGAAUUCGGAGGAUGGGAUAACAGCCCGAUUGCCUGGAUCUGGAAAGCCAACCGUGGUCAUGAAAAUACCUCAGGCACAGACUUCAGAUUUCAUCCGGGAACGGAAGUUUCCUUCAGGCUUUUUCGGCGAGCAGGGUGGUGAAUCAAUUCAUCAUGAACUCAACCAGUUGAACCGUGAAUUCAGCUCGAUCCACCCUGCGUCGCGUCGGCUACGAAAAAUAAUAGAAGAGCAUAGCAUUAGAGUUGCACCUCUAAACCGCUCAAAAUAUCCAGAGAAAAAAAUCGAAAACGAAGAGCUCACACCGCUACAACCUGAUUAAGCCGAGUCAGUCUCGUUUCUUAAUAAUCCGAGUCGUGUAUCAAUUGUAAAACUAUUGCAAAGCCAGGAGGACGCGGGAGCGACAAGUAUUACUCCUUCGAUGUUCAAAUCAGUAUUAAUAUUCUAUCGAAAAUAAACUUAAACCAAC